CCUUGCCUAUAAAAUGGGAUAUUAUGCUAGUAUAUUACUAAUUCUUUGUUAAACCUUUCAACAAUUAUUUAUUGAGCAUAUAUGAUGUGAUUCUCUAAAGCUCUAAAUCUUAGGCAAUUUACAAAGUUUUGAUUUUUUAAUGUUAGAAGUGCAUACCUUAUGCACAUUCAAAAAGGAAGUACACAGAACAUCUCGUGUUUGAUCAUUGCUAUGAAGUGAACGAAGAUGGACAUGUAUGGUUCUGAACUGAGAGCCCCACUGAGUCACUGCAUUGGACAGCACUCUGGGGUCAGGAGCAGGAAAGGUAAACACCCUGAGGAGGGGGCAGCCUGGCAAGUCUGAAGCUGAAUCAGAAGACUGUGUCAUGGAGCCGAGAGAGCAAAUGGGCAGUCCCAGGGAUGGCGUCAACCAACAAGGACCCUACACCUAGAGCCUCAAAGCACCGGGGAACUUGGCUGAAGGAGAGUGGACGUCCUGGGAGACUCUGAGCCCCAAGGGACUGGAGCCACUGGAUCUGGCAAGGGGUCAACAUGGUGCCAUGUGCAGAAGAACUUCUCACAGAGAAUGGCCAAAAGCAGAGGGACUAGUUUGACCUACUCUGAUCACCCAAGUUAUAAAUUGUUAGAUUGAGCCAAAGUUCUCAAAAAAGAAGUGGUCAGAAUUAGUUAUGAUCCAGAUCUUCUGAUUUAUACCCAGCAUUGCUGCUUAUGGAUUCGGUACAGGUUGCUUUGAAAAGGGAGGGAAGUCAGGACACACUUUCCCAGCAGGUAGACUUGUAAAUAGGUGUGGUGGCCAGGCAGGAGAAGGCCUCACCAAUGACCCAGGGGUCACUCUGCUGUCUUGACAGAGCAGGGAGGAGGUCGCCGUCUUAAGACCUCUCCCUAGAUCUGAUCUGUGUCUACUUCAUCUUUUCCAGGCAUCUGUGGGGACUGGAAGAAUCACCUCACAGUGGCCCAAGCUGAAGCCUUGGAUAAAGUUUACCAGGAGAAGAUGGCGGGUUUCCCCAAAGAGCUGUUCCCAUGGGAGUAACGUCUAAAAAUUCUGGAUAUGGUCAUUGUUUUUAAUGUCCUGGGAUGUGUACACGACUGGGCGUUCUUAGCAUAAAAUCCAUUUCUACAGAAAAGAGGAAGUGAAUGAAAAUAACAUAAAGAACCAACGAAAUAUUAAUUAUCAGACGAACAAAAGGAAGUCUAGUUGAGUAGGGAAAGGAAAAUGGGAGAGGAGAAGGGUAACACAGGGAAAGGGGGAUCAUGAACUAAAGUUGAUUUCCAUGUAUUGAUGAGUUUUUCUGGAUGAACCCAAUCACUAUGAUAACUAUAAAGCUCUGAGAAAAAAUUAAAAACCGGUUUCUUCAUUCUGGGACCUUGAAAUAUACAUUUUGCUUCUCUAAUCACUUGCUUGUUAAAAAUUACUGGGAUUUCCCUUUUCACUUCAUCAUAUCCUAGCUUUAAUAAAAUCUUUGUAAUACUUCAAGCCAGGUACAGUGAUGCAUGCCUGUAAUUCCAGCAGCGGGGGUGGCAGUGAAAGGAGGAUUACAAAUUCAAAGCCAGCCUCAGCAAUGACAAGACUCUAAAGCAAUUCAGUGAGAUUCUGUAUCUAAGUAAAAUACAAAAUAGGGCUGGGGAUGUGGCUCAGUGGUUGAGUGCCCCUGAAUUCAAUUCCCCGGGACCCAAAGAAAAAAUCUUUGCAAUAUUUUAAAUACAUAGAAACCUACGAACAUAAUAAGAAUAUCACCCACAAUUGUGUCUAGUAUUUAAAUCAAGAAAUAUAAUUUGCAAGCCAUUAAUGUUCCUUUUCUAUUACAUGUAUCUGUAGAAUUUAUGAUGAUGAUGAUCUGCAGGAGUAUGAUUUCCAACCCAGUGUUAUUUUCAUUCCCAGUACUAUGUAAAGCAUAACUAACAAGUGAUAUGGAUGGAACUUUUAAACCUCACAUGAAUGGUGGAUGGUAUGAUAUGUUCAUAGACUUUCAUUUCUACCCAGCAUUUAACAUGGUUUUGUCCGAGCUGACAUGUUCAAAGUAAUUCAGAGUUGAAUUGAGACUUGGAACACAGUUGAGUUACCUGUUUUCUUGUAGAUGACUCUGGGUUUCCCCCUCACCAAUUUUCCCAUAUUUAAAUCACUAUUUGGCAAGAAUGACAAAAACACAGGUAGGAGUUUUCCGAGGUCGUACUUGACUGAAGUUGACUGUUCUCUCAUUGGCCUGUUGUAGGUGUUACUAAAUGUUCCCCCAAUAAUCUUGUAAUGAAGUUAAAAUCUAAAUAAACUCCUCUAC
rnacentral:lncRNA from 1 species